GUCUAAAUUUUAUACGAAUCAAUAUAGUUGUUUUCUAUUACUACAUGAUAGUAUGGAGUAGUAACUUUACCCUCUGAAUCUAUUUAGACUGUUAGAGUUGUAAGCAUAGUAUUUGAAUAAAUUUUACAUGAAUCUAUAUGACAUGAUUCUGGAUUUUGAUAUACAAGCUUGUCCAGGAUAAAGUUAUCUUUGGGAGUAAAGUUUUUUUAAAGUGCAAAUCAACAUGCCUAUAUGCUGUAUCAGUCCAUUCCUUCAUGUGCUUUUAGUUGUACCAGCAUCGAACAUCUCCUGACAGGAAAAAUACACAAAUGGCUAUUGCUCACGUUUCACCGAGCAUGCACUGAUUCAUAUGGCCAUGAUUUUCUGCUAUAUGAGACUAGAACUGAAUUUGAAAUUUCUGGUUAAAAAAAUAAAAAGAGAUUUUGGACUGAACUACUGCAUCUGGAAUAAUACAAGAGUGCUCAAGCAGAGAUAUAUCUCGGAGUAGUAUGGCUGAGGCUUCAGAAAAUUCAGGCAACCGGCGGCUAUUACUACUGAAGCUCACUGAUGGACAAUACUCUCAUGUGCCGUCAUUUCCUGAUGAUAUUAGCCUCGGGACAAGGGACAGCUUAAAUGAUCAUCGUCGAAGUCUUGCUGCAAGGGUGAAUGCUCCAAGUCCAAGUCAGACUGUCCAGUUUCAGAAAAAUAGUGCAACUACAGAUGGUUUAACUGAUGGAGUAGAGCGCUUCACACGACUGAAGGAAAUCCUGAGAAAGCAACUGCCUUAGAAAGACCAAAAGUAAGUUAAGGAGCUUUCAAGACAAGCUGUAGAAGCAAUUUGGCGAUCUGAAACUUCUACAGAAGACAAGUCAGCCUAGUUUUGGUGAUCGCGAUUCUAAAUUUCUGAGGCGUAUGGGAAAGGAUACCGAAGACGACUCCUCUUUGCUCACACUUGAUGAUUGCAUCAAACCUUAUUUCUGUUUUCUGUUGCUAUAGUCACCAUCAGCAUAGCCGGAGUGUAACAAUCCUAUAGAUUUUUCAGUUUUUGUAUUUAAACUCAUAUUAUGUGUUAUACAUUUAGGUGCAAAACGUUCCUCUAGUGAUGGAUGCUAAAAGUAUAAAAAUAAGCAUGUUCUGUUUCAAAAUAGAUGACACUGGAGCUUCCGGUUGAACUGAUGAAGUAUAAAGAUGAGCAUGUUCAGUUUUGAAAGAGAUGAUACUGGAACUACCGCUCGAACUGAAUUCAGGGGAAGCGUAAGAGGACGAGGAAGAGGAAAUAGAUACUGAAGCACAUGUCCCUAAAGAAAAAUCACCGGAAGUCUCUAACCUUAAACAUAAUCACAUAUCUUGUUUUUUCUGACUAAAAGACCCUUCGGCUCUUAAAGGGCAUUUUGGACAAAGCCAUUACAGAAUCUGCAGUGGCGGCCUGCAUGCUGCACAUCGAGCACUGUUCAUCGCCUCGCCUGUGGCGAUUUGACAUGUUGCAGCGUUGGUUCGUAUACCCACUCUCUCGUCGAAAAAUACACGCCACAUAUACAUAUACGAUAUGUGUUUAUUUACUAAAGUUUUACCACAAUUCAAAUAUUUCACAACAUCACUCACUCUUCCCUCACCCGCCUAAACACUUUCUGUACACCCUAUCUUCUCUUGCAUGAAUGGCGCCAAAGCGGAAGCGUACUGGAUCCUCAGGCGCGUCCUCUUCGCGGAAUUCUUCUCGACGUAAAAAGGAACCCUCACCACUGCCCCCGCCCCCACCACCGAGACAUGUACCGGAGGUCAUAGAUGUGGAUAAAGAAACAUGGAAUGUCCGAGAUCCUGAGCUGGAUUUUUUCUACUCGGAAGAGGAAUAUAAGGAAGAUCCUGGAAGGUUUUCCAUUGCUUUCCAUCAUGGUGGUUCAUUCUUCUUUACCAAAGAGGAGAAAAAGUAUGUUGGGGGUAUUUGACUUUCUUCGACUUCUGUACCAUAGACCAAUUCGGGCUCAUAGACCUCUCGAGUAUGGUGUUAAAGUUGAAGUAUGAUAGGAAGAUGAUAUGUGAGUUCUAUUACUGUGAUCCAAAGUACAGUAAUGACUGCAAGGGGUUUUAAUCGGCGGCUCUUUGAUGCCCAUUAUUGAGGAGCCACAUCUAAAGGAUUUACUCAAAGUGGCGGCUACUUUCUCAAAGCUAGUUCACAUGUACGUUGUGGAGAUAACUCGGGCGGCAGUUCACAAAGUGGAAGAGCUUCUCAGAUUCAGUGCGUCGAAACCCCCACGAGUCAUCAUUGAAGAGAUUGAAGAAACCGAACCGAUUGUGCCAAACCGUCAACCGAGAAGGAAGAGGAGGCAGGACGAUCAGUUGCAAGGGCACCGGAGUAAGCCUUUGAUGAUUGACUGGUAUGAUAGGAAUAUUGAGUUCGAGGAAUAUCUUACAAAAAGUUUAGAAGAUGAUCGUGCUAAGAGGAAGAAGGACGAGGAGGUAGCUCGUCAAAAUUUGGAGAAAGCAUUUGAAGAGGUAGCAUCUGAAAAAUAAGUAUCAUCCGAAUCAGUAACAUCUGAAGCUGUAGCAUCUAAGGUUGAAGUUAUGCCGGAAGUUAGGGAAGCAGUACCAUCCGAAGGUGUAGCAUUUGAAGUGGUAGUAUUUGAGGUUGAAGUUAUGUCGGAAGUUAGGGAAGCAAUAGCAGAACUUGGAGAUGCGGUACCAGAAGCAGUACCAGAACCAAUACCAGAACUUGGAGGAGAUGUUGGAGAUGUUGGAGGAGGAGACUUUCAUGCACACAUACCAGAGGAUGUACCUAGACCGUCAUGUGUUGAACAUUCUGAUCCAAUUGGUCUAAGUGUCCAAGUUGACGACCAUCUAACUGAAUCUGAACUUGUAGUUCACCAACCUGAUUCGGACAGGGCAUGAGCAUUUGUAGAUGAAGAAGAUGUGUACUAACCCGUCAUAGACGGUGGGUGUGAACCACAGUCGGACAUACGGGUUGACAAUGACUUCUUUCCGAUCCUUGAGGACAUUACCCAUGAACUGUUCAUGUCCGAAGUUGACACCCAUGUGCAAGAAUCAGCUCCAACUGAAGCAGCGUCUAAAACAGUUGUAGGAGAAGUACCCCAACAAGUUGUCCAAGUUGAUGUUUACCGUCCUUCUGAGUAUGUUCUGGACGGAUGUUAUCUUCAUAAUGAGGGAUAAACAACUGAUGAUAAAGACGAUGAGGUCGGCCAUUUUAUAUCUUUGGCCAACAUGUGUCGAGAUGAAAAGUUGUUUACCUCAUUCUAGCAGUCGUUAUGUCUGUCAGCAUCAACAACCGGAACAGCAUCAACGGAGUGCCGAGCCGGAGACCGAACGAGAGGGGUUUGGAGAGUAGACUGGCGAAGGCAGUGGAGGGUCCAACAAACGGCGAAAGUAUUCCCCUGUUGUGAACAAAAUGGACUCGUCGUCCGAUACAAACCCACUAUGCGAGCAAGAAACCGUGGAUGAGCUUCAAAAUCUACAAGAUCUAGAGGAUUUGGAGGGGUUGCAGAGAAUGGGUAUAAAGUACACUCCUUUCAAGCUGACCAAGGAGCUUCCAGUUUGGAAGCCUGGUGAUCUUUUUAAGGAUCGAGAUUUCUUCUACAAGGUCAUGCGGCAGUACGCGAUAAUGACAAGACGACGUGUGCAUGUGAACAAAAAUGAUGGAAAGAGACUUCGUGCCAUCUGUAUAGGCAAGGCCUGCGAGUGGUAUGUGUAUGCAAGAAAGAUCGAAACCCACCACAACACUGAUUAUGUGGUGGUGAAUAUGCAGAGGGAUCAUGCUCACACGUGUUCGCAAGUGUUGGAUCAGAAAUGGCUCACGGCCAAGUGGCUGGCUGAGCGUUACAUGGAGAAAAUCAAAGUCGAUCCUCACAUUCCAUUGUCAUCUAUACGACAGUGUGUGGAUGAGGAGUUCGGCCUGAAAGUUGGUAGGAUGAAGGCAUAUCGGGCAAGAGACACCGCAUUAGAAGGCAUCUUCGGGGAUGCGGGACUCCAAUACCGAAGGCUGUUCUACUACAAAUCUGAAUUGGAACGGACACACCCUGAUUCAAGUAUGCACCUAUAGUAUGAGAAUUUUAGGGAUCCUGAGACUGUAGGCCCCAGAUUCUUGAGGUUUUAUUGAUGCUUGGGGGUUUUGAAAAAGGGUUGGAUGCGUUUUUGCCGUCCAAUUAUCUUUCUAGAUGCUUGUUUUUUGCGAGGUAUGUAUAUGGGCCAACUGAUGACGGCCAUUGGAAUUGAUUCCAACAACGGUUGGUGGCCUAUUGCGUGGGCUGUGACUGAGGCAGAGAGCUACGCUCAAUGGAAAUGGUUUCUCUCCUACCUAGCCGAGGACCUUCAAUUGCAUGACAAUGCCCCUAGACACGUCUUCAUUGCAAAAGAGUCUUGCAAAAGCCAUUCUUGAGGAUUUCCCACAGAGCGAGCAUCGUUUCUGUGUUCAACACAUAUACAACUUCAAGAAGCGAUUUAUCGGGGAAAAUUUUAAAGAAAUGUUGUGAGAGCUUGCUUCGAGUACAACCAACGAGCAAUUUGUGGAGCGGAUAGAUGUGUUGCGGACUAUAUAUCCCCAAGCACUUCAAUACCUACUCGGUGUUGCUCCAAAAGAAAAAUGGGUGAAGGCAUAUUUCUCAUCACAUGUUUGUUGUGAUGUUAUCCUCAAUAAUAUCUGCGAGACCUUCAAUUCGAAGAUAGAAAUUGCUCGAGAGUUGGCCAUUAUACCAUGUUGGAGGAGAUUCGGACGAGUCAGAUGGAGAUGAUUCAGAUUAGAGGCCAGUGGAUCAAGACCUACGAUCACGCACUGCCGUCCGUUAUCAGAUAGAUCGUGGAUAAGUUGUACGUGAGGGCUUCUUCUUGGAGAUCAACAUGGAACGGAGAGGAUUCGUACCAAGUGUCGGGACCAGUAUGUAGUCAACAUGCGUGAAUUUACAUGCUCAUGCAGAUCAUGUCAACUGACUGGGAUCUCGUGCACUCAUGCAAUCGCUACAAUUAACAAGAAUGUGCAGGAUGUAUUGGACUACGUCUCCCGUUAUUAUUUAAGGUCCCCAAUGUCGAUGUUGUACGAGAAUGUCCUCUACCCAAUCAAUGGGAUGAAUAAUUGGCCCAAGACUUCUACAGUUGGAUUUGAAUUGGUGCCACCAAGGACAAAGCGACAGCGUGGACGGCCGAAGAAACUCAGGCGCGAGGAGCCCUAGGUUCGUCAUCAUGAGAAUGGAGCAGAGUCACUAAGGUGAACCUAUAUAAUGAGAUGUCGUCGGUGUGGACAUGAUGGUCAUAACAGGAGAACAUGCGCCAAUGAUCCCCGUGUAGAUGCUCGUACUGAAGUAGGUCAGAGUUCGUCACAGACCAUUGACCCACCUACGACGGAUACAGGUAACAGGGCAGAGUCGUCCAACUCGGGUCAAAACUAAGAGACCAAUCCAGCUACUCGAGGACUGGGACAGCCUAGCACACGGCGGACUAGGGACGCAGCCUCCAACCAGCGACAAAACCAAGAGGUAGUAUUGAUCCAUCAAUAUAUUUCAUAUCUUACCCGCUGGGCGCUGUGGCCGUCGCGGGAAUUAGGAUUGAGUAAUCGCGUGGAGCAAGAUUGGUAAUGUUGGUAAGAAUGGGAAGAUUGAGAAGACUGAGUGAUGUAUAAGUCUAAACAAUAGUGUUGGUUUUUGUUAGGGGGCCUUUUUUGUCAAACAUUAUUAUGACUAUGCUAUUAUGACUAAGGUUUGUGUAUGUAUGAAUACACAGAUAAUAUUUUGAUGAGUUUUGAUGGGCUGUUGUUAACAACAUAUGUUAUGAUAUGAAUGAGGUAUUGCGUAUGA